ACUAUUAAAAGUGAAGAAGUCCUAAAAAAUCUAAUUAAACAAAGUUUGUUGGACCUAUUCAAUAGAAACUUAAUAUGUCUUAUUUUAUACUUACAUUAAUUAAUCAAAACUAUCAGUAUUAUUAAUAGGGAACAACCCAAACUGCCUAUCAUCAUUAUAUCACCGAUAUAUUUGCAUCUAACAUAGUCUUUUACACAUUAAUAUUUUGAAUGCAUUAUUAUUCCCUUCAUUAGCGAGGAAAAAGUCAAAAAAUAAAUAAAAUAAUAUGCAAUGCACAUAUUUUCGACCUUAUAUAAAUAAUCAUACAUAAAAAAAUCAAAAUUCUACUGGUCGUGAUUAAAUUAGUGGGUAUGUGUUGACAAAAAAAAUAAAAAUUAGUGGGUAUGUUAUCCAUGUAUUUUUUUAAAAUCUAUGUAUGAACUUACAAAAUAUGUUCAACGUAUUAUGUAUAUUUUCAAUACAAACCAAAUCCCUAUAAAAUGAACCAUAUAAUAUAUACUUAUUUGACUCUCAC
rnacentral:lncRNA from 1 species